rnacentral:lncRNA from 1 species
UCAAAUCGAUCAAUCUUCCUCUCAUCAUCAUCAAUUCAUCACCACCUUCUUCCAAUCUCUCUACACUCGCACCACAACCAGAUCUGUCAACCAUUUCACCAUUCUUCACCGCCAUUGUUAUCCUCUAAUCGACCAUGGCCAACGUGAUCAUGGCCUCCUCCAAAACCCUAAUCACAUCUCCCCCAACCCCUAAAUCCAAACACCAACCACUACCACAACCUCCCGUCUCCCUUCCCCUCAUCUCCACCACCACCAAACCCCUAAUCUCCCUCUCCCUCACUCCCAAAUCCCUCGCCGCCGCAGCCCUCGUAGCCGCCUCCGUCGCCGCGACUCCCUUCCCCUCCUUAGCAGUCGAGAUCGAAAAGGCCCAACUUUUCGACUUCGAUCUUACGCUUCCGAUCAUUGCCGCGGAGUUU